ncrna:Clostridium sp. M62/1 pemK RNA
AUCAUGAUACUUCCGUCCAGUCACAGCCCCGCAAGAAGCGGGAUCACGCAAUGAGGACGGCUCGGAGAGAUCCUCGGAGGGGUGAAAUGCCCAUGA